GACGAACGCUGGCGGCGUGCCUAAUACAUGCAAGUCGAACGCUUUUUCUUUCACCGGAGCUUGCUCCACCGAAAGAAAAAGAGUGGCGAACGGGUGAGUAACACGUGGGUAACCUGCCCAUCAGAAGGGGAUAACACUUGGAAACAGGUGCUAAUACCGUAUAACACUAUUUUCCGCAUGGAAGAAAGUUGAAAGGCGCUUUUGCGUCGCUGAUGGAUGGACCCGCGGUGCAUUAGCUAGUUGGUGAGGUAACGGCUCACCAAGGCAACGAUGCAUAGCCGACCUGAGAGGGUGAUCGGCCACACUGGGACUGAAACACGGCCCAGACUCCUACGGGAGGCAGCAGUAGGGAAUCUUCGGCAAUGGACGAAAGUCUGACCGAGCAACGCCGCGUGAGUGAAGAAGGUUUUCGGAUCGUAAAACUCUGUUGUUAGAGAAGAACAAGGAUGAGAGUAAAAUGUUCAUCCCUUGACGGUAUCUAACCAGAAAGCCACGGCUAACUACGUACCAGCCGCCGCAGUAA
rnacentral:rRNA from 1 species